AUCGUGCCUGCAACCCAGGCAUGUGCCCUUGACUGGAAUUGAACCUGGGACCCUUCAGUCCACAGGCCAACGCUUUAUCCACUGAGCCAAACCAGCUAGGGCUGGAUGCCCUCUUUUUGAGCCAUCCCUGCCUCAGCUGAGAAUCACUGGUCCAUCACGUCUGAAAAUGAGUCGUUUUGCUGACAUCAUCCAAAAAUACAUUUAAAAACUUGCGAAUUGCAAAUCAUGACUUUGCUCCUGGGGACUGUUGCUCCUUGAAGUGUGUCAUUCAGGCAGAGUCAGCAUCGCCUAGGAGCUUUUUAGACAUGUGCAUCCUCCUGCCCCUCUCCCCGCCAAGACCUCCCAGAUCAGAAACUGUGUUUUCAAGCUCUCCAGGUGACAUACAUGCUGAAGUGUGAGAACCGCUGAGAAUUUACAAGCAGGAAGUCAUACUGUCUCUCCCACCACCCAUACAAACAGAUCAAAGAUGCCAUACAAGAAUGCAACAUGUGAACAGCCACGAAACUAGAGUUCCCACCACCAAAAGCUCUCCUCUCCAAUUCAUCCUCCAAACUGCCACCAGAAGAUUAUUUCUAAAAUGCAGAUCUGAUCAUGCUACUUAGCUCCCUGUGGCUUUUGAACUCUUGUUCUGCUCUGCAACUCUGCUCAAUGACUCCACCCUGAAACUCCAAUCAGAAUCUUGCCUUUGUGCCUGUCCAGCAUUUGAGCUGGUAAGUAGCCAAGAGCUAAAAGAACACUCUGGAUGCACCAUCCCUACGGAUGACAGGCCAUUCUAGUGCAGAUGGAGCUGUUUAGGGGAAGAAGCACUGGGCCAGCCCACAUACCCACAGGCCAGGUAUGGCUUAAAUGAAAGAAACACAAGGAGACCCUACCUACUUGCUGUUUUGGAGCCUUAUUUUUGGCAGAAAAUUUUGCUCUUACUAUAAUCACUUAUUUACUCACUUUUUUUUGGGGGGGGGGGGGGGUAGUGUUCACUCCAGAAUGUAAAGUUCUUUCUGAUUAAAGUACACAAUCUUGUGGGACAAAGCCACUUGGUUUCUUCCCACCACAGUCUCGAUUGAGGUUCCCAGCUGUGUCUGGACAGAUUCACCUCUCUUACAUCUACGGGCCUCUUCUUGGAUGAAAUGUUGCUGAGAUCUAGAGGUUUAGAGGAACUUAUCCAGGUCUCCACUCUGUGGGUGGCCAACUCUGGUUUGGGCCCCAGGUCUCCAGAUGACUGACCUCCAUGUUGCUUUUUCUGUUCUACCAGGCUGGCUGGCUUUCUGUUUAACAAUUAUUUCCCAGCAAUGGAAUUAUUGCUAAAAAGAAUGGGGUUUACAUUUUACUCAUAUCAUAUACUAAUGUUCCUAAAAAGAAAAGAAAUGAUGGAUUAAAGCAGGGGCACUCUGGGUGUUCACAGACUCCAGGAAAAAGAAAGACCUAUGGCAGGGUUUAUAGAACUUGAGACUUGCAGCCUCUAGGUGGCAGUGUUGUUCCACUUGGGACUCUGGUCCCACAGAGCAUUCCUAGGAAGCGUUUUGCCCAGCCAACUCUAAAGACUUUUCAGAACAGAAUUUUGAUGAAGCCUGAAUUUAGCAUUUCUGAUAUUUUUAACAUUUAAAUGUUUUGUUGCUGGUUGCUUCUCCCACUACAACCUCAAAGAAAACAUGGUUACUAAUGAAAGGCAGUUAAAAUGGAUAUAAAAGGAAUGAAAUUUGUAGCUAUUUAAGGGAAUGUAUUAGGGGUUAGCAUUUUAUUUUUAAAUUUCUAUGAUCUUUUAGAAAGAUCAGAGUUUUGUAAAAAAAAAAAUUUAAUAAUGGGCUUUCAUAAUCAAAGGUGAUGAUAGGCAAGGAAAGAAUUAUUUCUAAGCUGCAGUUCAUCCACAGCAGUAAUUAAUUUUGACUACUGUACAGGAAAUGAAAGGAAACCCUAUUUAUUUAUUUUAAUAGGAGAAAAGAUAUGCAAAUUUAUUAAUAUUUUUUAUGUGCACAGGCAUUCACAAAAGAAGUAACUAAAAGAAGCGUAUGUAUCCUUUUUAACAAAGAAAAGAGGGUUUGGGCUUCCAGAGAGGUCAAAUGUGGAGCAGUAACUAGGGGACAUAUCGGGGACUAAUAGAAGAUAAGAGGUUUUUUAAGGAGGUUUAUGCAGGCUCAUCUUGGUGCUGGCUGGUUCUGUCUCCCGUGAUAAGGGUCACUCUACUCACCCUGGUCCUGGGAGGGAGGGGGGAAAUUUAUGCCACCUUCAUGAAGGGAAAUUCAUGCCAUGCUUUCAGUCAGAUAAGGGCAGGAAACUAAGGAAGCCCAAUUUUAGAGUUCCAUUUCGGGAGUGGGAGGGAAGCUUACAAUUAACACAAGGCACUGAGCCUGGUCAUUUAACAUUGUUUCAGUAAGGGGGAGUUGACAGAGUGGGAAAAGAUAAAUAGAAAAAGCAAAAUGCCAUAUUCAGGUAAGAGCAUUCUCAAAAGUCGGUUAAAUUAUUUUAAAAGAAGACGAGUGAGUUUGCCUUUGCAGCAUGUUCUCAAUGAGACUGACUUGAAGUACAAAAAAAAAAAAAAAA